rnacentral:rRNA from 1 species
UACGGGGGGAGCAAGCGUUGUUCGGAUUUACUGGGCGUAAAGGGCGCGUAGGCGUCCACCGCAAGUCAGUUGUGAAAGCUCUGGGCUUAACCCAGAAAGGUCAACUGAUACUGCGGGGCUAGAGUGCAGAAGGGGCAACUGGAAUUCUCGGUGUAGCGGUGAAAUGCGUAGAUAUCGAGAGGAACACCUGCGGCGAAGGCGGGUUGCUGGGCUGACACUGACGCUGAAGUGCGAAAGCUAGGGGGGCGAACGGG